rnacentral:rRNA from 1 species
AUAUUCUGUAGCAAGGUUAACCGUAUAGGGGAGCCGAAGGGAAACCGAGUCUUAACCGGGCGUUAAGUUGCAGGGUAUAGACCCGAAACCCGGUGAUCUAGCCAUGGGCAGGUUGAAGGUUGGGUAACACUAACUGGAGGACCGAACCGACUAAUGUUGAAAAAUUAGCGGAUGACCUGUGGCUGGGGGUGAAAGGCCAAUCAAACCGGGAGAUAGCUGGUUCUCCCCGAAAGCUAUUUAGGUAGCGCCUCGUGAAUUCAUCUCCGGGGGUAGAGCACUGUUUCGGCUAGGGGGCCAUCCCGGCUUACCAACCCGAUGCAAACUGCGAAUACCGGAGAAUGUUAUCACGGGAGACACACGGCGGGUGCUAACGUCCGUCGUGAAGAGGGAAACAACCCAGACCGCCAGCUAAGGUCCCAAAGUCAUGGUUAAGUGGGAAACGAUGUGGGAAGGCCCAGACAGCCAGGAUGUUGGCUUAGAAGCAGCCAUCAUUUAAAGAAAGCGUAAUAGCUCACUGGUCGAGUCGGCCUGCGCG